rnacentral:rRNA from 1 species
AUUGAACGCUGGCGGCAGGCCUAACACAUGCAAGUCGAACGAGUGGCGGACGGGUGAGUAAUGUAUGGGAAACUGCCUGAUGGCGGGGGAUAACUACUGGAAAAGGUAGCUAAUACCGCAUACCAUCGGAUGUGCCAAGAUGGGAUUAGCUAGUAGGUGGGGUAAAGGCUCACCUAGGGGACGAUCCCUAGCUGGUCUGAGAGGAUGACCGGCCACACGUGAACUGAGACACGGUCCAGAGUCCUACGGGAUGCAGCAGUGUGGAAUAUUGCACAAUGGGCGCAAGCCUGAUGCAGCCAUGCCGCGUGUAUGAAGAAUGCCUUCGGGUUGUAAAGUACUUUCAGCGGGUAGGCGUUACCCGCAGAAGAGGCACCGGCUAACGCCGUGCCAGCAGCCGCGGUAAUUC